CUCCAAAAAGCACGGGUGGUUCAAAAAGCCUGACUCAGCCUGGCCUUAGAGGACCCUCCUGCGGAUGCAGGUAAGGGGUUCCACGGGGGCACAGAGCGUGUCACAACUACCGACACACAUGGAACUGCAUCGCGUGCCUGACCGCAGCACGUGACCAGAAGCCAAGGACUGGGCGCUUCCAGGGCAACACGCCUCCGGUGGAGCUUGGCAUCACUCCAUCCUCCCUCCAACCCCAUCGCACCCACCUGCUCCCCGCCAUGGGCUGCUUCUCCAUGAACGGCCUGAUACUCUUCCAGAUGCCGAAGCCAGAAGUCUUUGAGGCCAAAUGCACCCUCCCGCCCGUCACCUCAAUGACCCCCGCAUCUCACUGGUCAUCUCUCUGUUCUUCCAUUCUGUCUCCUUCUGCUGCCCGGAUGCCAAGGCUGGCCCGUGUACCUCCAUGGAUCCUACAGCACCAAGCUCACCUCCAGCAGAGAAAGUGGAGCCGUCAGUGCAGAAGCAGCUCGCCUUAGCUGUGACAGUGUGUUUCCUUUGUUUUGCUUACUUGAUGUUAUGUGAUGCACAGAUUUUUAUUCUGGGUCUCUUUUCUUGGUCAGGACAGUGACUAAUGGUAAAGAUCCAGCUCUGGUUCUUGAUGUGCUAAUCCUAGCCUUGAGUAUUUCUCUACUUGGCCUGUUACAGUGGGCAUGAAUUUAUACGUGACAGGCAGACACAGAGCCUUUUAGCUAAUUACAAAGAGAACGCCCCACAUGGCAGCCAUCCUGCCCCCUUGGAAACAAAAGCAGAGAAAGAUGAUUUGCUGGUGAUUGAAGGUAAAUCUCCU
rnacentral:lncRNA from 1 species